rnacentral:rRNA from 1 species
GAUGAACGCUGGCGGCGUGCCUAAUACAUGCAAGUCGAGCGAAUGGAUUAAGAGCUUGCUCUUAUGAAGUUAGCGGCGGACGGGUGAGUAACACGUGAAUAACCUGCCCUUAAUUUUGGAAUAACCCAGGGAAACCUGGGCUAAUACCGGAUAAGUAAACCUGUGGCAUCACAUGGUUUUGGAAAGUUUUUCGGUCAGGGAUGAGCGCGCGGGCUAUCAGCUUGUUGGUGAGGUAACGGCUCACCAAGGCGACGACGGGUAACCGGCCUGAGAGAGGGGCCGUUCGGACGGGGACUGAGACACGGCCCAGACGCCUACGGGGGGCAGCAGUGGGGAAUAUUGCACAAUGGGCGCAAGCUUGAUGCAGCAACGCCGCGUGAGGGAUGAAGGCCUUCGGGUUGUAAACCUAUUUUAGCAGGGAAGAAGCGAAAGUGACGGUACCUGCAGAAAAAGCACCGGCUAACUACGUGCCAGCAGCCGCGGUAA